GUGUAUUGUACAGAGGAUGGUCACUGAUCCUUCUGGAUGCUGCUCUCUUCAAGAAAGAUCCCACAUUGAGGUAGUUCAGCUUGCAAAACAUCUGGCGCAGCAUGCCAAGAAUACAUGUGAGCUGAAAAGUGGGACACUAACUUUGCCUUGGGAUCUUCUCUGCCAGAGAUAUCUGAAGUUGCCUGUCAGCCCCAAGCUACGAUGCAGUAAAACCACUUCCCACAAACACCAUACAUCAUUUCACUUUAAAGAAAAGAAAUCUUAUAAGCAAAGGACUGAAGAAACAAUGAUGGCAUGAGUUAUCUUGAGAACUCCAACCCAAAUGGGUUCCAAUUGGAGAAAUCACUUGGAUCACUCUAACAAAGGCAAACACUCCUUUUACCACCCAUGAUGAACCUCGAAGAUAAAACUCUCUACGUACACAGGAGCUGGGGUCUAAAUAGAGAAACCUUGGUGGUACCUGCAAGCAGUUGCAGCGUUAACCUCCACCUGGCAAUUAAACAGGAACGUUGGGCCUUCUCUUUGACUAUAACCUCUCCGAAGCCCACCCCCAACCACAG